rnacentral:rRNA from 1 species
AGCAUUAUGAUAAUAUAUAAAGUGAAACCUGCCCGGUGAAAUUUUAAACGGCCGCAGUACCUUGACUGUGCUAAGGUAGCAUAAUAAAUUGACUUUUAAUUGAAGCCUUGUAUGAAAGGAAUAAUGGAUAAGCUCUGUCUCUAUUUAAUUUAUUUAAAGUUACUUAAAAGGUGAAAAUACCUUUUUAAAUUUAAUAGACGAGAAGACCCUAGGAGUUUAUUUAUUUUUUUUUCGAAAAAUAUUUUGUUGGGGCGACAUUACAGCAUAAUAACCUGUAAUAUAUUUAAAAAUAAAACGAAAAAUUUUAAUUAAGAUUAAACUACCCUAGGGAUAACAGCAUAAUUUUUAAAAAGUUUGUGACCUCGAUGUUGGACUAGGAAUUUUUAAUAUUAACAGUAUUAAAAUUAUGUUCUGUUCGAACAAGUUUUCCUACAU